GGAAUAUUGGACAAUGGGCGAAAGCCUGAUCCAGCCAUGCCGCGUGUGUGAAGAAGGUCUUCGGAUUGUAAAGCACUUUAAGUUGGGAGGAAGGGCAGUUACCUAAUACGUAUCUGUUCUGACGUUACCGACAGAAUAAGCACCGGCUAACUACGUGCCAGCAGCCGCGGUAAUACGUAGGGUGCAAGCGUUAAUCGGAAUUACUGGGCGUAAAGCGUGCGCAGGCGGUUAUAUAAGACAGAUGUGAAAUCCCCGGGCUCAACCUGGGAACUGCAUUUGUGACUGUAUAGCUAGAGUACGGUAGAGGGGGAUGGAAUUCCGCGUGUAGCAGUGAAAUGCGUAGAUAUGCGGAGGAACACCGAUGGCGAAGGCAAUCCCCUGGACCUGUACUGACGCUCAUGCACGAAAGCGUGGGGAGCAAACAGGAUUAGAUACCCGAG
rnacentral:rRNA from 1 species